AACGAACGCUGGCGGCAGGCUUAACACAUGCAAGUCGAACGCCCCGCAAGGGGAGUGGCAGACGGGUGAGUAACGCGUGGGAAUCUACCCAACCCUACGGAACAACUCCGGGAAACUGGAGCUAAUACCGUAUACGCCCUACGGGGGAAAGAUUUAUCGGGGAUGGAUGAGCCCGCGUUGGAUUAGCUAGUUGGUGGGGUAAAGGCCUACCAAGGCGACGAUCCAUAGCUGGUCUGAGAGGAUGAUCAGCCACAUUGGGACUGAGACACGGCCCAAACUCCUACGGGAGGCAGCAGUGGGGAAUAUUGGACAAUGGGCGCAAGCCUGAUCCAGCCAUGCCGCGUGAGUGAUGAAGGUCUUAGGAUUGUAAAGCUCUUUCACCGGUGAAGAUAAUGACGGUAACCGGAGAAGAAGCCCCGGCUAACUUCGUGCCAGCCGCCGCGGUAAUAC
rnacentral:rRNA from 1 species